rnacentral:rRNA from 1 species
GUCUUCUUGAUAAAAUAGGAAGUCUGACCUGCCCAGUGAAAAAUAUUUUAACGGCCGCGGUAUAUUGACCGUGCAAAGGUAGCAUAAUCAUUAGUCUUUUAAUAGAGGGCUGGAAUGAAGGGUUUAACGAAGUACUUACUGUCUCAUUUAAUUUGAUAUUAAAAUUUACUUUUUCAGUCAAAAAGCUGAAAUAUUAUUGGAAGACGAGAAGACCCUAUAGAGCUUUAUAUUUAAUUAUCUAAUAAAUUUUUGAUAUAAUUAUUAUUUAUUAUUUAAUAAAAUAUUUUGUUGGGGUGACAAAAAAUAUAUAAUUAACUUUUUUAUUUAUAUAACAUUGAUAUAUGAGAAAUAGAUCCAGUUUUACUGAUUAUUAGAAUAAGUUACCUUAGGGAUAACAGCGUAAUCUUCCUUUAGAGUUCAUAUUCACAGGGAGGCUUGCGACCUCGAUGUUGGAUUAAGAUUAUAAUUAGGUGUAGCCGCUUAAAAAAUAGGUCUGUUCGACCUUUAAAUUCUU